rnacentral:rRNA from 1 species
UCGAUUCAGCGGCGGACGGGUGAGUAAUGCCUAGGAAUCUGCCUGGUAGUGGGGGACAACGUUUCGAAAGGAACGCUAAUACCGCAUACGUCCUACGGGAGAAAGCAGGGGACCUUCGGGCCUUGCGCUAUUAGAUGAGCCCAAGUCGGAUUAGCUAGUUGGUAGGGUAAAGGCCUACCAAGGCGACGAUCCGUAGCUGGUCUGAGAGGAUGAUCAGCCACACUGGGACUGAGACACGGCCCAGACUCC